UCAAUGAGGAGGCAAAGGUCUCACAUGAAGGGAUGGGGCACUUUUUGUAGCCAAGGAUGACUUGCCUAUGCUCUCAAGCAUAAGAGAGCUUACUUCCUUUUGGUAUUCUUCAGUUUCUAAGUGAGUCUUCCUUGGCUACUUAUUAUGCUUCACCCCUCAUGUCAGGCACAAGUCUUUCAUGA
rnacentral:pre_miRNA from 1 species